rnacentral:lncRNA from 1 species
CCAAAAAAAUGGACAGCCAUGUGGGUGUUAGGAAAGGUUUUAUGGGAAGUUGAGGACAGCUUGACAUAGUGCCUGUGGGACAAAAUUUCCCCUAAGUCCCAUUUCAACAUCUCUCUGUUUUCCCAGACUUUUCCUUCUUCCCAAUCUUUUCCUCCUCGGCCUCUCAACCGGUGAGUUCCAGUCUCCUCCCUUAUCAUGUCCCCUCAGCAAAACAAAAACCGGUGGCUAACCAAGCCCUCCCUCCCACCGUCCCUGGCUGCAAGGACCACCGCUGCCAGUGAGGACUUCUCAGGCAUUGCCUUUAUUACUCUUAGCUGCUUUUUCUACUUGGCUCACACAGCUCCUUAUGGGCAGGGCCUAUGACUUUAUUCUUCUCUGCAUUCUCUGCUGCCUUGUUAUUUUAGUGCUGACACUGGGUCUGCACGUAGUAGGUUCUGAACAAGCAUUUAUGGCUCUGCUUUCUGGAAGGGGGCCUCCAGGAUCUCUCUCCUCUUCUGCCCACAGAAUGUGCCAUAGGAAAGGGCAGGGCUUUUUCUCGGGUGCCUGCCUGGUUUGCAACCUGCCUUUGACACGUGUUGGCCUGCGGGGUCCCAGCCCCUCCUGUGAGGGGUGAGGGAAGGGUUGUACCCUAAGGAUGUGGAGAAGGAUAAGCUGCAAAUCUACCGGCCUCUCUCUCUAUCGAAGGGCAAGGCAUGUUCCCAGGGAUCCUGCUUCUGGUGACAAUGGUGGCUGAGGGGAGGAAGGGGCUGUGGAGGGGCUGGAUGGUGGUGGGUCUUAGGUGUUUGCUCUUUGAAAACAAAGCAUAACUAGGGCAUGCCUCCUGCCUCUAGGCUUUUCCCAUUGGAGAGAAUCCCCACUUGGAUCUCAGAGUUUGGGGUCUUAAUAACAGUAGUUUGUAUUCUCCAGGCAGCGCCAUGCAGCCCUUCACAUGAGUGAAUCAGUGUGGUAUAUAGGCCUGAGCCCUGGGCUGGGAGAUUGCAGGCCUGGGUUCUAGUCUCACGGUUGCUAGUUUACUCCAACUAACCACCUUCUCUAUGCCCUAACUUUCCUAUUGGUAAAAUGGGAGAGAAACACUUUGGAGUGUUUGGGCAAUGAAAUGAGAUAAAAGAGAAAGGCAGAAGAGAUUCCCAUGUGUUCCACGCUAAUUUUGGUAACUGAACUUUAACUCAGUAAAAAUAUUUUUAUUAUUACGUAAGAAAUGGAAAAACAUUAUAGAAGUUCAAAAAAGUUUUUUAAAAUCACACAUAAUUUUACCAUCCUGAUGCAGUUAUUUUCUCUUUCCUUUCAGAUUUCACAGUGAUAUCCUCAAAUAAUUUUGCAUAAUAUGAGUACUAUUUUGUACUUUAAUUUUUCACAUAAAUGUGUCGCUUGGUAUCUGUAACCUUCAUUUUCAAUGCCUGCAAAUUAUGGGAUCUAACAUGUUUUUAUGCUUUAUUUAACUAUUCAAACAGUACUUGACAUUUGAGCUACUUUCAAGUUUUCAUUAUAAUAAAUAAUGUUACAAUUAGCA